rnacentral:rRNA from 1 species
UACGAAGGGGGCUAGCGUUGCUCGGAAUCACUGGGCGUAAAGCGCACGUGGACGGUUUCUUAAGUCAGGGGUGAAAUCCUGGAGCUCAACUCCAGAACUGCCUUUGAUACUGAAGAUCUUGAGUUCGGGAGAGGUGAGUGGAACUGCGAGUGUAGAGGUGAAAUUCGUAGAUAUUCGCAAGGACACCAGUGGCGAAGGCGGCUCACUGGCCCGAUACUGACGCUGAUGCACGAAAGCGUGGGGAGCAAACAGG